rnacentral:rRNA from 1 species
AGUGAAAAAUUUAAGGAAGUAAGUAAAUCAAACCAAUAAGGUUUGGCAGUUAAAACUUUUUAGAGAAAUUUGUUUCAUAAUUGUAAAUACUCAAUAAAUUUAACUUUAAGUAAAAAUCUAUAUACCGCCGUUUAAUGAAAUAAAAUAAACAUAAUACCCAAAUAAAACAAAAUUAAAAAAUCAGGUCAAGGUAUAAUCAAUCUUAAAGUAGAAAUUAAUUACAUAUAAAAAUAAAUUAAGGAAUUCACAGACAAAAAUCUUUAAGAAAAAGAAUCUAAAAACAAAUAUAAAUUAAAAUUUAAAAUUGAAAUAUAAUAUUUUAAUGC